AGGUGUGGACCUCAGGUGUGGACCAGAACCGAGGGAUGAGGAACCGGGAAACACAGGGAAAGCUGACAGAGAUAACGCAUAGGGAAGACACGCAGAGGUGUGUGUAGCAGCAGCGGCGGCAGAGCAGGAAUAUUUUCAGAUGUCACACCCCUACAGUGUUGCCACGGAUGGCCACCUCAUUGCGCAGCUGACUCUCCUGUUUGGUGGGGAAGCGGAGUUUGUCGAUGAUUUUGAUGGCAACAUCUCGGCCGGACUUCCUGUGCUUACCUGCGUGGAAUAAAACCCCAAUCUGCAUCACAAACA